GGAGCGCGCGCGCACACACACACACACACACACACACACAUACACAUACAUCUACUUUUGGAAACAACGGGAGGAACGUACUGAAUGUAGCGGAGAAAAAAGUGAAACUAAAGUAUCGAUCCCAUCACGCUAGUAUCGAUCCGAUUCCGAUACCAUCGAUAUUUGGAUCGAUCCGCCCUCCUCUAGUUUUUUAGCGGUUUAGCAUCGUGGAAGCUGCGCUUACUGAUUAUGUAACAAUUUAUUUAUAUUUUAUUUUAGAAACAGCGAUUGAAACUAAAUUCCCGACGUGCUGCUGUCAGACGGAGGAAUUAAAGAAGAUUGAACAGGUGAGAUUUCCACCCAGGUUUACUGAUGGAACUUCCCUAAAACCCUCUGAGAGUUUUCUCACAGAGAGAAAGAGAAAAUAAAUACUGCACCCUGGCUUUGAACUUGCCUCUACUGAAGCUGUAUUCUGAUGACACAGAAGAUACCAAGUCUGACUUCCACCUCAACAGGGAAUCCCUGAAAAUGCUCUUUCUAUACCCAUGCAUCCUGUGAUUUACUGGGUGGCCAAAGAAAUGGAGGCAAAUUCUCAGUUUACCAUCCAAAACAUGAAGAAUUGCAGAGAGACACUCAUCAUGCAGCUUUGUGUUGCGUAGUUGGUGCCAUAGAUGGGUAUCACGUUAGAAUUAAAGCUCCAGGAGAACCUUAUGCGCAGUGUUACAGAAACCGGAAGCUCUACCCAUCUGUGCACCUACAAGCUGUUUCAGUGAUCCUAAGAGAAUGCCUAAAUUGAUAGCUGGGAGGUCACAGCAGAAGGUGACCCUGGUUCCUCCUCAUUUGAUGAGGCAAUCAGCAUAGGAGGUGAAACGGAAGGCCGGUUAUCUAGUACCUCGUCCAUGGCCCUGAACCAGGCUCAUUCUUCUGCAGUUCCUUCGCUAGUGUCUGUUGCACUUCCCAUAGGGGAACACUUCAGUUCCUAAAAUCAUUUAGAAACUGUCAUCUAACAUCAGCUUCAGUUGAUUUAAUUAUACUCAAACGGAUACACUAAUCAGUACUUCCUUAAUUUAUUUUAGGUCUAUUUUGGAACUUAUAUUUCUUUUUAAGGUUGUCCCACUUUUUUAGAGCUUGCUGUGGGGACACAUCCUACAGCCCCAAUUCUAAAAGAAUAGUAUGUACUCAGUAUUCACUUAAAGUUUUGAAAUGUAUUCCAGUUAAAAAUAUUUUAACCAGAUUAGGAAUAUGCUUAAAUUGUAAAUUUGCUCACUUUAACAUGACUGUUGUGUCACACAUGACUGUUGUGUGCUUACUGACCAGACAAAACAUGAAAAACUUGGGUUCUUAUUGUCUGCAAUGAUAUAAAAGUCAAAGUAAAUGUAAAAAACACUGUCCACCUUUUUAAACAAAAAAAGUAAAAGAAAUUAAGGUGUUAGAGUAGCCUAGUCAAAGUCCUAUCAAAAAACUAAAACUUGUUUCUUAUUGCUGGUUGGCUACCAUAUAAAAGUGAUGUACCGCUCGAGCAUCUGGUUGCUAAUAUAACCUAACCAAGCAUAGUUUUAGUUAGGAUUGUAAUGGCUCUGGUGCCAUUAGGAAUUACUGAAAGUGAGGCAGGAAGACAAAGUGGCACUCCAUCUCACAGCAACACACAUUUACAACUAGGUGUAAUUAAGAGUAGAUAGUCCACCUUCUGCAUGUUUUGAGAAAGUGAGAUCAAACCCAUCAGAACACAGGGGGAGCAUUGCAAAUUCAUGCAGACUGUUGCGCAGCACAGACUCAGACAACUAAUAACACUAAUCAGUACUUCCUUACUUCCUUGUAACUUACCAUAUAUUUCUUUUUAAGGUUGUCUCACUUUUUAGGGCUUGCAGUGAGGACAUGUCCUACAGCCCCAAUUCUAAAAGAAUAGUCCAAUCAACAACCAAACAACGAGAGUAUCAUGUAAUGAGAAUAUAUGAGAUGACAAUGAAACUGGAGAAUACAGUGAAAAAGGAAUCUAUUCAGAUCAUUCAGGCUCCUAGGUCUCACAGUGACACUUAAACUCAAGACUUUGGUCUCAGCAGCGUUUAGUAUAAAUGUCCCUGUCCCAACGUAAUGCAACAAACUCCAUGCAUCAAUUUCAGAUUGAUAGUAAUUUGGUAAAACAUGAAAUCUCUUGGUAUUAAGUUAUUUUUUAUUUGGAUUUAACACACUAUCCCAACUUUUCUGGAACUAAGAAAUUGUUCUUAAUUGAGGCCCUAACAGUACACAUGGGAAUUUGAAGCAUGUAGGUAUUUUUUAAAGCCUUGGUCUAAUUCAUGAUAGUCGACACACUUUUCUCUCAUUUCUCUCAUUGGGUUUUCUUUGAUCUUUCCCAUGUUGAGUAAUGACAGGGAAUUUGGCCCGCAUGUCACCUCAUAAAUAAACCAGAAAGUCUUGAGUAACUGCUUGAUUGAUACUCCCCCACACUUCUACAUUUAGGGGUAGGAAUACAUUUAGUUAAGGUUACAUUUUAUUGAACCACAAAGACAUUCCAUGACCUAUUUUGCACAUCUUUAAUAAGUUUUUAUUUUAUUGUAUAAUUGAUAAGCCUAUAAAACAUUUAUAUGCACUGUUACAGCAUUGUACUGUCAUGUCAAGUGAGAAACAAUAUAUAUGGACACCUGACAAUGAGCUUGCUGAAAAUACAAUUUCAAAAAUAAACAGACAGUAACUUAGCCCUCCUUUGUUUGUUUUGUGGCUAUAACAGACUUCACUUCUCUAAGUAGGCUUUCCACAAGAUUUUAAACUGCCUGUAGGUACAAAUACCCAGACAUGAAUAUCCAUCAAACGAGCAUUUUGUGAAAUAAAGCACUGAAAGCGCAUAUUUGAUUUUGCACAGGUUUUUAUGUCGGAUAACCUUGCCAGGCUUGGAACAUGUUUUAUAUAAUUGAUUGCUAGUGUAUAACAGAUGUAUAAAAUCAAAGUCCAAAUACUUUUGGCCAUAAAGGGCAUGUA